UUACCUUUAGUGGUACAUAUAAUCAAAUUAAAUUGAUACAGAUAACAUUAGUAUGGCCUGUUGGUAAGGAAGAGGUGCAGGAUCAUGAAGGUUUUAUAUUUAU
rnacentral:snRNA from 1 species